UACGGAGGAUGCGAGCGUUAUCCGGAUUUAUUGGGUUUAAAGGGUGCGUAGGCGGGCAUUUAAGCCGGCGGUCAAAUGUCGGGGCUCAACCCCGGCCUGCCGUCGGAACUGGGUGCCUUGAGUGCGCGAAGGGUAGGCGGAAUGCGUGGUGUAGCGGUGAAAUGCAUAGAUAUCACGCAGAACUCCGAUCGCGAAGGCAGCAUACCGGCGCCCAACUGACGCUGAGGCACGAAAGCGUGGGUAUCGAACAGG
rnacentral:rRNA from 1 species